rnacentral:tRNA from 1 species
CAGAUAGUAGUUUAACUAAAAGAAUUUUGGCUUUGGGUGCCAAUGGCGAGGAAAAUUUUUCCUCCUUUCUGA